CCAAGAAAUUGUUUGCUUUCCCUAACAUUUAAACCCAGACGAACUUCUAAACUCCAUCCCACACACUUUCCCUUUCCUCUCGAUGAAACCUCUCAGCUGCAGGCUCUUCCCCUGAGUCUCCCCUCUUGUUCUUCAACUGCCAUGCAACCCGUCUCCCUCCGAGCACCCGCUCUUCUUCAAGCCCUGACCUGCGGAAAGAAGGUGGUCAUUUACGUCCCUGACCUGCGGAAAGAAGGUGGUCCAGCCCUAAUCGCUGGUGGGUGUUCUCAUAUGAGGGUGAGCACGGCCCAGACAGCCAGGUUGUCCUUGUUGUUGUUGGUGAUGUUGAUAUGGAUGCUAUUGACAUGGUAAUACUUCGUGGGGAGUUUGCUUCAAAAGCAUUAAGCCACAGUUUUACUGUGCACACCCAAGACAUGGAGGAGGUCAUCUCUACACAUUGCUAGAAUUGGGGGAGAUGAUUGGGGCCACAAAGAUUAUAUUCAUGGAUGAGAUAUCAUCUGGAUUGGAUAGCUCACCUAUAUAUCAGAUAGUCACAUGUCUUCUGUGUACAAAUUCCCCGGUGUUGAUAUCUCUUCUCCAACCAGCACCAGAAACGUUUGACCUCUUUGAUGAGAUGGCGGAGGGCAAGAUUGUUUAUCACGGUCCUCAUGUCCAUGCUCUUCAGUUCUGUGAGGAGUUCUGUGAGGAUUGUGGUCUCAAGUGCCCAAAAAGGAAAGGUGCUGCUGAUUUCCUUCAAGAGGAAAUGCAAGCUGAAACUUCAGGAAAAGCAGCUGAAAAUUGCAGAAUUACGCCAAACCACUGGAUUGAAUCCUUUGUAGAUGCAAGAAGAGAAGAAGAGGAGGUGACUGCAUGUGCAAUAGAGAGAGAGAAGAAAAGAGGGCAGCAACCGUGGCCCUUCCUCCUUGUCAUUAAUAUAACCUAAUCUAUGCUACAAGUAAAUACAGAAAACAACAAGUAUUUACAAGUAUGCCACUGCCCAUUAUGUUUAGGUAUAUGGGCAAGAUGGAUCAGGGCUGUAGACAUAGAUGUGCAUCUUUUUGAAAGCACUCCUCAAAACCUGCAGCAAAAGAAAUGCAGACAUAAAACCGAUAGCUUAUUUUAUGAGGCACAAUUGGCUUAUAUGGCCUACA